UUCGAGCGAACAUUACAUGGAAAUUGAAUUAACUCCUACAAACUACUGCAAAUUUUCCCUCUCCUAUCCUUCUUGGUUUAUGAUGCUAUUAUCUUUUGAAUCUUCAUUUCAUCUUCGACUCCAACAUCUCCAUCUUUUUGUAUUCAACCGGCGGGAGCUCAGGCGCGCCAUGUCUACCUUUCUGAUCUUUUGUCCUUCGCAUUCGUGCGUCUCGGUCCUCACCAGAACUGCAGCUUGAGUCUCGGUUUUCUACAAGCAGGUAUUUUCGAGCAGCAACUGAUUCGUGAAGUGAAAGCUGGACUGUAUAGGUGUCAAAUAUUAAAAUUUGGGGCUGACUUGACAUUCCGUUUUCAAAUGAGGGCAUGUACAUCUAUCUAUUUCUUUUAAAAGCUUUGUGAUGUUUCGUCCUUUUGAGGUAGUUUAAUCUCUGUUUUGUCGAACUUUUAGUUCAGUUUCAUUGCUAAGCUUGUCUUCUAUGUCAUGUGAGUACUAGGUCUAGUUAGCAUGUCUUUCCUUUGCUUGACAAAGAUCUUGAUUAGGAUGCACGGGUCUUACAUAUAUUCUUACAAGAGACUUUCUGCAUUUUCUGGGGUUAAUGAUUUUUUUCCCCAAGUUUGUAGAAAGUGAGAAUUUGAAAUUCAAAGUAUGAUGCAAUAUGUACAUUAGGUUAGGUCUGGCGUAGACUAGAAUUGGGGUUUGAAUCUUAGGAGUGUGAGGCAUGUUAAUUUUUUAAUGGCAUUGUAUGGUAAUGUCCCUUGGCUCAUCAAUUCUGGCUCAGUUGAUUGGACAUCAUAACCUCAUGAUGGAUUGGCGAGAGUUAUGUUGCAGGAUUGAGUUUCGCUUGUUUAGUGUGUUUUAAUCUUGCUUUCCUGAUUUUAUAUUAAGUUGGUUUAUUUGAAUCAUUUUGUGGUUGGUUGAGCUUUAAAUAACUGAUUUUCUCUUAUUUGUUGUUUUUCCCAGAAUAAAUCUUGAGUUUCAUGUACUUGUCAUGCAUUGUAAUUAGUUUCUCUGCACAAAAAUUUGAUAAACCAACCAACCCUGCUUGAGUUAGAUAAACUACAAGAAAUUCACGUAGUCUCUUGUGCAUGUUUCUGCCAAGUAACUCAUUUAACUUCCUAGCUAGCAACAUUUAGUAGGAUAAGUUCUUCUUCAUUUUCCACAAUUUUAGGUCUAGCACAUUUAGGUUUUGGUAUCGUCAGACUUUCUUUUGUAAUUAAUAGUGAGUUGUAUGAAUGGUUUGAGUUUUCGGAAAAUGAGUAAAUCAUGAAGUAUCAUGUGGGCAUGAGUUUCUUUCUGCUACUUAGAAGUGUUUCUGUUUAGAAUCUUAUUUCAUUGAUAAAAUGGGUAUUAAUUCUCUUCUGCAUCAUGUCCCUUCAUUUUUAUUUGGUUUGAGUUUUCUUCUUUGCCAAUUUCCUUUCUUUUGUGUGGUUGUUGGAAAUGGAUAAACUAGAUCUGAAUGGAGUCUUUUGUCAGAAAUCAGAUUUGAAAAAGAGAUCUUUAUUUUACUUUUAGAGAUUAGGAUUUCCUAUUACUUUUUGGAUGUUUUUAGUUAUCCCCCCCUUAGUUAUGGUUUGUAAUCAUUAAUCUUUUGUCUUUUGUAAGUUUUAGUUUUGAGAAUGUCAAAUAUACAUAUUCACCCAACUAGGACACUUUCAUAUAGGCCCUAAUCAGGAAUUUUCUUUGUCCACUCUAUGCUUAUCACCAUUUUAUUUUAUUUUAUUUUAGUUUCUAUUCUUCAGUCUUUCUGUAUGACCGAUUGUUAAUUUGGUUUUCUAACUCCACCAUGACUGGGUAAAUGUUUAUCUAUUGUAUGAAUGUUUUUUCCACCUAAGUUGUAUUCUAAUAAAAAGUGAGGUUGUUUAUGAUAACUCGAACGUGGUACAGCAACUUCCAACUACCUAUAAUUCGGCCACCUUAUAAAUGAACAUUCAUCUCUUCUAUUGAAGAGAUUUUGAUGGUAAAUACAUGGAGUCACUAAUGCUUGUAUCAUUGUCAGUUGAUGGUGGCAGUAGGUGCUAGGUUCUAUAAACAGGGGCAGACAACUCCAUUACAAAUCAUGUGCAUUGCUCCCACACAGGUUGUCUGCUGUUGGCCAUGUUUCCUUGCCUCCUCCAAGCUCUGCCAUCCCUCCACCUCCUUUGGCUCUGUCCUUUACUGGCUCUCGUCCAAGGCCUUCAGUUUUCCCUUGUCUUCAUUUAUCUUAACUGUUCAAUUUGUUGCUCUCUUUUAUUAAAAAAAAUUACGAUCAUGACUGAUUUUAUUUAUUUAUGUUUGGAUGGGGAUAUGAUGGGGCAGCCUCAAGUUGAAGUUAAGAGUUUCCUUGCUGAGCCGUAAUUUCACACGGGCUAGUUUCUUAUAUAUUGGCUAGUUUCUUAGAGAUUUGAAGACUAGCUAAAUUCUCCAACGACGACUCACCUCAUCACAAGAGAAUUAGGUCUAGAAAGUCUUCCAUCUUUAACUUAUCUAAUUUCAAACUGGAAAAGGAUGGGGCCUAGCUAACCUGUUCAGCUGUAGGCAGAUGGGAUAGUUAUCUGAAAUCAUUGGGAGGCCAUUUUAUGUAUCUUGUGAUGUCUCAAAGGUGUAUUACGUCGUGGAUUGCUCUGUUAGAGUUAUGUACAUACUUUAAAUCCAAAUAUAUAAGAUUCUGAUUGGGUUGGUUUA